rnacentral:misc_RNA from 1 species
AGAAGAAAACGUGCCAAACGGAGAGAUAGAGACAGAGACAGUGCCCAGAACUCAUCCAGUGGGACUCCUGAGGGAGAGACGGCUCGGUGACAAUAACGGACACGCCAUCCAAUCAUUGUCUUCAUUACAUGUGGCCGAGUGAAACUCCAGUUCAACAUUUCAUUGUUACAACGUGUUCAACAAAAAACACACCUAGCUGAAUCUCCCCAAAUAACAGGUUUAUAUAUAUUUCUCCCAACAGCCAAGCUGUAUGUUUUAUAAAUCCUUCUACUGUGUACACUGACACCUUGAAACAUUGAUCUUGAUUUGUACAUACAUUAUAUUUUAUUACUUUUUUGUAAAUGCUGAAAAUGAUGCUUGUUUACAUAUAAUAUUUAUGUACAAAGAGAGUGUGAUUUUUUUUGGUCUCUUUAACCUGUGAGUAAGAUAAGAUUAUUAUUUAAAAUGGUGAUUCCUAAAUAUAUUGCAUGGCAUAAUUUAGGAUUUUUAGUUGAUUGAUCCUGGCACAAAUACUGCAUACAUUUAUACAAUGUGGGUAUGCAGAGUAAGUGUAUCUUUUAGAAUGGUCAGUGUGAAGGCAGCAGUCAAUAUAUGUUUACCCAUACCUGUUUAUAUAUGUAGGUAUAAAGUCCAUAUGGCCAGACCGACAAAGUAGUGUCAAUGAUUUACACAAUAUAAGGUUAUUGCUUCUUUAACACUGCCAAGUUAUUAAUAAAACAUGGUAGAUUUUAUUAUCAUUGUUAACACCUCUUUGAUGGUGACACAAUUAUUGAGCAGAUUUUAUGAUGUAGGUAUAUUUUUUCCCCCAUUGGUUCCAUUGAAGAAGUACAUUGUAUCCUGAUUGCAGUGUUUCAAUUUAGCCAAAGGGAAACCUACAAAAAUUGGUUUAGUUUAUAAAUAAUCACAUCAACACAUAUUUUACUAAUAUCGCAAAUUGAAUUCUUGACCAUAUGGGAAAUGUGCAAUUCUAGGUGUAUUUUGAAUAGUACAAUAGUACUGUGCAAAACAGUCUUACUUAUGACCUACAAUUCUGAUACUGGACGAGGUAUCUAUACUUAAUUUAAAUAUAUUUUAAUGAAUGUUAUUUUGAGCAAUUUGAUGCAUGUCUUACUAGUACUUUUAUUAUUGUUAUUAAUUGGGUCUCUGUGGGAUCCAUCCGAUGGGUCACACAACUCUAUUUCUCCUUCCAUCAUUCUUGCAUAUGCUUACUGACAAUAGGCCAAACUCAUUGAACUUUCUAUAUUUCAUGAACAAUUGUUGUCAUGUUCUGAUUGGCUCCUUCGUGAUAUUACCAAUAGUGUGAGUGCUAACAUUUAAAAAAUUAAAACAUUUACAGUAUGUUACCAUAAAACAGCCUUGUUUUCAAACCAAGUAUAAAUGAAUAUAUUCAAGACCAAGAAAAGUUCAAAAAGGCUGCCCAAGGUCAAUAGGCAUAUGCAAGAUGAUUGGCAGUAUCUAAUAAUGAUGAUCUUUUAUUAACAUGUCCUUUUUCAUUUCAAUGCAAUGACAAUAACAAUGUAAAGUAUUUUAUGAGAAAAAAAAGUGCUUUUCUUGAACAAUUCAGUUAUAUCUUGAUAUUAUCAUAUGAUCUAUUUUUUAUGAUGGUAUAUGUUUUUUUAACAUACAUGAAAUGGUCUCCCUAUGUAUUGUACAUUAUUUAUAGACUGUUACUGUGUUGAGGUGCAUUCCAAGAAAGAAAUGUUGAAGAUUUUUAAGACAAAUCUAGAACUGUUAUUGUUACAAUCAGUUGAAGGUUGUAUGUGCUGGUCAGUCAGCGACAUGUGAUACGCAUUAUUUAUUACACAGAAGUGUGCGAUGAUAAUGAUGAUCAUGACUCAGGUCAAAUGGGAUUUGAUUUGAUGAAAUUUAAUUUGCAAAAAAAAGAUAGCAUAAUCUACACAGGACAUGUAUGUUAAAAAUGUAGUCCUCUUAAGUAUGAGGGUACUCUUAGGAUGUACCUAAUUAUCUAUAAUAAACAAUCUUGUCUAGAAUGUUUGAGACUGUGUUUGCAAAAAUUGCCUUUGGCAAUAUAAGAAUAUGAGAAAAUACAGCAAUGUCUGUUAGAAUAGUUUUAUGUACAGUUUAUUUUCUCUUAUUUAUUACUCAUCAAUAAACUGUAGAAAGC